rnacentral:rRNA from 1 species
AUUGAACGCUGGCGGCAUGCUUUACACAUGCAAGUCGAACGGUAACAGGUUAAGCUGACGAGUGGCGAACGGGUGAGUAAUGCAUCGGAACGUGCCCGAUCGUGGGGAUAACUACUCGAAGAGUGGCUAAUACCGCAUACGAUCUACGGAUGAAAGCGGGGGACCUUCGGGCCUCGCGCGAUUGGAGCGGCCGAUAUCAGAUUAGGUAGUUGGUAGGGUAAAAGCCUACCAAGCCUGCGAUCUGUAGCUGGUCUGAGAGGACGACCAGCCACACUGGAACUGAGACACGGUCCAGACUCCUACGGGAGGCAGCAGUGGGGAAUUUUGGACAAUGGGCGAAAGCCUGAUCCAGCAAUGCCGCGUGCAGGACGAAGGCCUUCGGGUUGUAACUGCUUUGUACGGAACGAAAAGGUAGCUCCUAAUACGAGCUGCUGAUGACGGUACCGUAAGAAUAAGCACCGGCUAACUACGUGCCAGCAGCCG